UGCAGUCGAGCGGUAACAGAUCCAGCUUGCUGGAUGCUGACGAGCGGCGGACGGGUGAGUAAUGCAUAGGAAUCUGCCCGGUAGUGGGGGAUAACCUGGGGAAACCCAGGCUAAUACCGCAUACGUCCUACGGGAGAAAGGGGGCUUCGGCUCCCGCUAUCGGAUGAGCCUAUGUCGGAUUAGCUAGUUGGUGAGGUAACGGCUCACCAAGGCCACGAUCCGUAGCUGGUCUGAGAGGAUGAUCAGCCACAUCGGGACUGAGACACGGCCCGAACUCCUACGGGAGGCAGCAGUGGGGAAUAUUGGACAAUGGGGGGAACCCUGAUCCAGCCAUGCCGCGUGUGUGAAGAAGGCCCUCGGGUUGUAAAGCACUUUCAGCGAGGAAGAACGCCUAGCGGUUAAUACCCGCUAGGAAAGACAUCACUCGCAGAAGAAGCACCGGCUAACUCCGUGCCAGCAGCCGCGGUAAUACGGAGGGUGCAAGCGUUAAUCGGAAUUACUGGGCGUAAAGCGCGCGUAGGUGGCUUGAUAAGCCGGUUGUGAAAGCCCCGGGCUCAACCUGGGAACGGCAUCCGGAACUGUCAAGCUAGAGUGCAGGAGAGGAAGGUAGAAUUCCCGGUGUAGCGGUGAAAUGCGUAGAGAUCGGGAGGAAUACCAGUGGCGAAGGCGGCCUUCUGGACUGACACUGAC
rnacentral:rRNA from 1 species